UUGAACGCUGGCGGCAGGCCUAACACAUGCAAGUCGCGCGGAUGAAGGGAGCUUGCUCCUGGAUUCAGCGGCGGACGGGUGAGUAAUGCCUAGGAAUCUGCCUGGUAGUGGGGGAUAACGUCCGGAAACGGGCGCUAAUACCGCAUACGUCCUGAGGGAGAAAGGGGGGGAUCUUCGGACCCCACGCUAUCAGAUGAGCCUAGGUCGGAUUAGCUAGUUGGUGGGGUAAAGGCCUACCAAGGCGACGAUCCGUAACUGGUCUGAGAGGAUGAUCAGUCACACUGGAACUGAGACACGGUCCAGACUCCUACGGGAGGCAGCAGUGGGGAAUAUUGGACAAUGGGCGAAAGCCUGAUCCAGCCAUGCCGCGUGUGUGAAGAAGGUCUUCGGAUUGUAAAGCACUUUAAGUUGGGAGGAAGGGCAGUAAGUUAAUACCUUGCUGUUUUGACGGUACCAACAGAAUAAGCACCGGCUAACUUCGUG
rnacentral:rRNA from 1 species